rnacentral:rRNA from 1 species
AACGAACGCUGGCGGCAUGCCUAACACAUGCAAGUCGAACGAGACCUUCGGGUCUAGUGGCGCACGGGUGCGUAACGCGUGGGAACCUGCCCUUAGGUUCGGAAUAACUCCCCGAAAGGGGUGCUAAUACCGGAUAAUGUCUUCGGACCAAAGAUUUAUCGCCUUUGGAUGGGCCCGCGUUGGAUUAGCUAGUUGGUAGGGUAAAAGCCUACCAAGGCGACGAUCCAUAGCUGGUCUGAGAGGAUGAUCAGCCACACUGGGACUGAGACACGGCCCAGACUCCUACGGGAGGAAGCAGUGGGGAAUAUUGGACAAUGGGCGAAAGAAUGAGCCAGCAAUGCCGCGUGAGUGAUGAAGGACUUAGGGUUGUAAAGCUCUUUUACCCGGGAUGAUAAUGACAGUACCGGGAGAAUAAGCUCCGGCUAACUCCGUG